ACUUCAAAAAUAUCAAAUAAAGUGAAUAUAUUCUUGGUUUUUAUGGCCAAACCCAAAAGUAGGAAAUUUUUGGGUCCUACUCCCCAUAUUCAAGAACAAUCGAUCUAUGAUCAGUGAUCAUUCUGGGAAGCAGUUUCUAAUUGAUGCUGCUGAAUGCUUCCUCCUAUUCCAUGGAGUAUAAGAAUCUAUCCAAUAUAGUAGCACUCUAAUGAUUAACUCCUUUGAACCAGGUGAAAUUUCCUCCAAUUAGAUGAAGAUUAGGCAGCUCCAUAUACUCGAUCCAUUUGGAGAAGUUGGGCAUAACAUUAGUUAUUCUGGAGCACCCUCUUAUCUCUACCUGCUUCACUGUGUAAAAUCCCCACAAGAUAUCUAUGGUCCCUCUUUCGGUGCUUUCAUUGCUGUAAUUUCUUCCCAGCACUCAAGUUCCUCACUUCUUGUGUGGGGUGCAUAGACCCAAUAAGGAAUCAUGAAAAGGAAUUUUGGACUGAUUUGAAAUUAAGGAUCGAGUGAGCAGCUGAAAUGAAAUCAAGGUUUUGAUCGCAAUUUAAAUUUUCAAAGUCAAUGCUCUUAAAGAGAGAAACUGUUGUACACAUGGUCCUCGUCCAGCCCAUGACUCAAGGCAGACCAUUUAUCUGGUGGCUUCUUGGCUUCCUUGAGGCAGUAGUGCUUGAUAGUAACACCAUGUAUUUCUACUAGUUUUUGAAUCUCUUUGAUGUGGUUGCAGAUUUUCCAGGGGAUUUUCCGUUCACCUCUUAUACACUAUCUGAGCAAAAAAGAGUCAGUAUCAGCCAUGCUUAAACUGACAUUUCUUUCUCUGGAGCUCUGGACAGUACUUUCAGAUAUACUAUUGCAUUGCAAAUGCUCUUCGAUCUCCUGACAUUGAAUCUUACCUCCAAUUGUAUAGUCUCUCUUAUUGCUUUCUGCAUGCAUUCUUUGACCAACGGUUUAUCUUUAGGCUGAAACAUGCAUCAGAAUAUACUUCUUUGACCAAAUGUGGUUUUCACAUUUGCGAAGGCAACGGAGUUAGAACAAUCAAAUAUUGUAAAGUUGUGUGGAUUUUUAGGGCGGAUAAUUGAUAGAGUGAAGAGCAGUAUGGGCAACAAUAAGGAAGUGGGGAAUAGCCAACGAAUGUAAAAUUGUUAUGGCUGCCUGAGUUGUCUGGCUAGUAUCCUCAAAAUCAGACUUCGACCUAUGUUGAGUUUUUAGAUUUAGCCUGUUUACAUUGAUUUUUUGACUUAAUUUUUUUAUUUGAU